rnacentral:lncRNA from 1 species
AAUUUGGAAGUUUACAUGUGUUACAUGUUGCUAUUGUUAUUUUAGCAGGAUGACUUGUUUUAAGGGAAAAAGGAGACUUUUUCCUUGAUGUUCUAGUUCUCGCUGCAGCGAGAAUGAAGUUCGCUACAGCAAGAAACUUUCUGUCCAUUUGGCUAACUUGUGGGUUUUUACCAUAUUUCCCAUUUCUUUUGUACCAUAGUUGAGCAUGGAUUUUUGUAAAGUGAUUUACUCAUGUGGGGUUUACAUGAGGGGUUUAAAGGAGCUAAAACAAUUGCAUGGUUUUGAGAAAACGAAUGCAUCAUGAUUUCGAUAAACAUUCC